GCAUAUUAGUAAGCGGAGGAAAAGAAACUAACCAGGAUUUCCUUAGUAGCGGCGAGCGAACAGGAAAUAGCCCAGCACUGAAUCCCGCGGUUGUAACGAUCGCGGGAGAUGUGGUGUUCGGGAGGUAUCGCUUUCUCGUCGUCGCCACUCCUGUCCAAGUUCGUCUUGAACGGGGCCGUUUUCCCGUAGAGGGUGCCAGGCCCGUAGCGACGGAGCGAGACGGCGAGAGGUACACUCCUCAGAGUCGGGUUGCUUGAGAGUGCAGCCCUAAGUGGUGUGGUAAUCUCCAUCUAAGUAUCGACAUUC
rnacentral:rRNA from 1 species